AAGUCGUAACAAGGUAACCGUAGGUGAACCUGCGGUUGGAUCAUUACCAAUUUUUUUCUUCUUCUCUCUUGCUUUCUUUUGUGGAGCGGGAGAGGAAAAGGAAGGAACAAAAUGUGCACCUGUAAUUGUACGUUGGCGGCUGUCCAAGUGCUUUGUGCUGGACGUGCAUUCAGUUGCAAAGGCCGUCAAUUGUUUUUUCAAUAAACAAAUUGAACCACUUUUUAUUAAUUCUAUUUUUUUUAUGAAGAAGAAACCAAGAACAACUAUUAACAAUGGAUCUCUUGGCUCUC
rnacentral:misc_RNA from 1 species